UACGUAGGGUGCAAGCGUUGUCCGGAAUUAUUGGGCGUAAAGAGCUCGUAGGCGGUCUGUCGCGUCGGCUGUGAAAACUCGGGGCUCAACUCCGAGCUUGCAGUCGAUACGGGCAGGCUAGAGUUCGGCAGGGGAGACUGGAAUUCCUGGUGUAGCGGUGAAAUGCGCAGAUAUCAGGAGGAACACCGGUGGCGAAGGCGGUUCUCUGGGCCUUACCUGACGCUGAGGAGCGAAAGCGUGGGGAGCGAACAGG
rnacentral:rRNA from 1 species